CCAUGCAUUACCGGGUGGGUCUCCUCUGGCAGUAACUUGGCUGGUCGCCUGGUCCAUGAUACCUGCGUGCAGACACUGCCAAAGGAGAUUUGCCCAGCAAUGCAGUU
rnacentral:pre_miRNA from 1 species